rnacentral:lncRNA from 1 species
CCGACCUCGUGAUCUGCCCGCCUCGGCCUCUCACAGGGAUUACAGGCGUGAGCCGCGUGCCCGGCCUGAAGAAGCACUAUUUAAUACCACCUGCAGCGCAAAGGUGACUGAAAACAAGAAAGUGCUGUCUCUAGCUGGGGCUUCCUCGAGCUUCUGCCCGCUGUGCGCUGCACGUUGCCACCUGGAUGUGAGACAGCACUUCACACCGGCCCUUCCAAUCCUGCGUCCACAUCUUCACCCAACCUCCGCCUGGACAUGCUACUGCUCCUUCAUUCCCUAACUCCGCUGAGACAUUCCCAUACAUGCCAUUUGCAAGUGAUAAAUCCCAAGAUCCUGGGGUCCGAAGCUUCCGUCUUACCCCCCAGCACACCGUCAGCGGUCAGAUCCUAACAGGUGUUCCCCUGCAGAGUUCUUGACUGUGCGCUUUUUCCCCAUUCCCAUCACCUCCAGCUUGUCUCUGCAAUCGACACGUCUCAUCCAGGCAAUUGUAGUAACCUCUUGGCUGGCAUCUUGCCACCACGUUGCCUCUCUCAAUCUCUUCACAUAGCAGCUUAAAAUUCUGUCAGAAAAUAAUUGUGCCCGUAUCACCUGACUAUGUUAAACAACAACAACAACUUCAGCAGCUCUUGUUCUUCAAGAGAAAAAUCGAAAACUCUGGGCUCUUUGGUCCAGCAUACAAAGCCCCUGUGACCUUGGCCACAUCAGCUCUCUUUGGUGAAUCUCUAGGCACACCCACCUUAAAGUCCAGUUCAGACUGAACACCUAUAAACCAUGAGCAACGCAGGAAGUUGGCCACCAUCAGCAC